UUUUAUUUGAGAGUUUGAUCCUGGCUCAGGAUGAACGCUGGCGGCGUGCCUAACACAUGCAAGUUGAGCGAUUUACUUCGGUAAAGAGCGGCGGACGGGUGAGUAACGCGUGGGUAACCUACCCUGUACACACGGAUAACAUACCGAAAGGUAUGCUAAUACGGGAUAAUAUAUUUGAGAGGCAUCUCUUGAAUAUCAAAGGUGAGCCAGUACAGGAUGGACCCGCGUCUGAUUAGCUAGUUGGUAAGGUAACGGCUUACCAAGGCGACGAUCAGUAGCCGACCUGAGAGGGUGAUCGGCCACAUUGGAACUGAGACACGGUCCAAACUCCUACGGGAGGCAGCAGUGGGGAAUAUUGCACAAUGGGCGAAAGCCUGAUGCAGCAACGCCGCGUGAGUGAUGAAGGCCUUCGGGUCGUAAAACUCUGUCCUCAAGGAAGAUA
rnacentral:rRNA from 1 species